AUAACUCGAGAAGGGUAGAUCUAAUAUUAGGAAUUAAUUAAUUUGUUAAUUUCUUAACCCUGUCCUUAAUGCUAAUAUUAGAUCUACCCCUCUCGAGUUAUUUUAGUUAU